AUUGAACGCUGGCGGCAGGCCUAACACAUGCAAGUCGAGCGAGCGGCGGACGGGUGAGUAAUGUAUGGGGAUGUGCCUGAUAGAGGGGGAUAACUACUGGAAACGGUGGCUAAUACCGCAUACUAGCGGAUGAGCCCAUAUGGGAUUAGCUAGUAGGUGGGGUAAAGGCUCACCAAGGCGACGAUCCCUAGCUGGUCUGAGAGGAAGAGCAGCCACACUGGUACUGAGACACGGCCCAGACUCCUACGGGAGGCAGCAGUGGGGAAUAUUGCACAAUGGGCGCAAGCCUGAUGCAGCCAUGCCGCGUGUAUGAAGAAGGCCUUCGGGUUGUAAAGUACUUUCGGCGGGGAGGCGUUACCCGCAGAAGAAGCACCGGCUAACUACGUGCCAGCAGCCGCGGUAAUAC
rnacentral:rRNA from 1 species